AGAGGCUCAUAUUAUUGUUGAAAUUCCGGUGGGGGCGGUUGGCGGCUACUUCAAGAGCCAUAUUCAGGAUGACCAGUACUUUGUCACUUACACCAUUGAGCCCAUGCUUGAGUUGCUGUGGAUCGAGGAGGUCGCACACGAGAACACCAGCUAUAAAGUCCUCUUCCCUAUCACAACACCUCCGAUGGCCAGGCCUCCACAAGUUCGCAACUACACGCCCUUAGACACAGUUCCUGAGCAGGCAGUGUUUGUGCUUGAGUUGG